GCUUCGAUAGCUCAGUGGCAGAGAAGUGAGACGGUACCCCACCGGCCCGGUGUUUGAUUCCCGGUCAAAGCU